rnacentral:rRNA from 1 species
GACGAACGCUGGCGGCGUGCUUAACACAUGCAAGUCGAACGGAAAGACCCUGCUUUUGUUGGUUGCUCGAUUGGCGCACGCGUGUGUAACACGUGAGUAACCUGCCCUUGUCUUUGGGAUAACUUUACGAAACUGCGGCUAAUACCGCAUAGGAUCUCCUGCUCCAUGUUGUGGGUUGGAAAGAUUCGGCUGUUUGGGCUGGACUCGCGGCUUAUCAGCUUGUUGGUGUGGUAGUGGCUUACCAAGCGUUUGACGGGUAGCCGGCCUGGGAGGUUGAACGGCCACAAGGGGACUGAGAGACGGCCCAGAAGCGUACGGGAGGCAGUAGGGGGGAAUAUGGCAGAAUGGGGGGAAGCCUGAGGCAGAAACGCUGCGUGCGGGAUAAUGGCUUUUGAGGGAUAAACAGAUUUCGAAGGAGACGAAGAGUGAGUGACGGUAAUUGGUAAAGAAGCAACGGCUAACUACGUG